UACGGAGGGUGCAAGCGUUAUCCGGAUUCACUGGGUUUAAAGGGUGCGUAGGCGGGUAAGUAAGUCCGUGGUGAAAUCUCUGAGCUUAACUCAGAAACUGCCGUGGAUACUAUUUGCCUUGAAUAUUGUGGAGGUGAGCGGAAUAUGUCAUAUAGCGGUGAAAUGCUUAGAUAUGACAUAGAGCACCAAUUGCGAAGGCAGCUCACUACACAAUCAUUGACGCUGAGGCACGAAAGCGUGGGGAUCAAACAGG
rnacentral:rRNA from 1 species